UGGAAUGUACAGUGCAAUUAUUCUAAGGCUGUGAAUGGUAGAAUUUGGCUGCUUUGAAAAAUCACAUUCAGAUACAAAUCUCCCUUGUGACUGACCAGUUCAUCCAAUGCUUCAUUGAAGACUCCAUUAGUCAUGUCAGGACCCAUGCCAGUAUCAUCUAUGCUCAGAAUGAUAUUCACCUUAGAGAACAGCUGUGGACAGAUUUGAGGAGCAUUCCUAUACCCAGCCAGGACACUUGGUUAUUGAGUGGUGAUUUCAACAAUGUGUUAAGCCCUGAUGAUAGAAUUGGAUCUCCUGUCACUGAAGCUGAAGUUAAAGGAUUUAAGACUGCUAUUAAUGACCUGCAGCUCACUCCUUUCAGAGCUACAGGAUGGCAUUUCACUUGGUCUAAUAAACAGGGUACUUUUAAGACUGUUAUUAAUGACCUGCAGCUCACUCCUCUCAGAGCUACAGGUGGCAUUUCACUUGGUCUAAUAAACAAGGUACUGCAACCAGAGUUUACAGUAAAAUUGAUUGGGCACUGGGAAAUUACCAAUGGUUACUGCAAAAUGGUCACUUAGAAGCUGAUUUCAUGAAUUCCUCUGUGUCUG
rnacentral:lncRNA from 1 species